GACUGUUGCAGAGUUAGCAGUCUGGCUCUGCCGCAGAAGACCCUGGCUUAAAGCCAGCACGCAUCAGAAUUAGCUCAUUGUUAAGAAUAUACAGCACACAGUCUAUUAGAGUCCCAGCCUUGGAGAGGAAUGCGCUUUCCAAGGCUGGGCUCCUUUUUUAGGAGUGCAGUGAUUUUUUAGAUGACUUCUACUUGUCCCUUUUUACACCAGUCGUAUUGUAUUGCACGUGUAGAUAGGCAAGCAAGUGGAAGGGAGCAGAGGCUUUUUGUCUGCAAGUUGUGCUGCUUUUGGUGGCUGGAGGGACUGCAAUUCCACCAUCCCUGCAGAAAAAUAAAAUAAUGGAUGAUUUCAAGGUCCCCUCCCAAGCAGGGACGCAAGGGCAGCAAAAAGACAAAAAUCUUCAUUCCUGUCUCCUGGUGAAGACCAUCUACCAGAAAACAAAAAUGAUGACCUCUGAAUUAUUCCUGAACCAUGUAACUUCCAUUUGUAUUGAUUUGGUCUUUGGGUAUAGAUGAUUUCUUAAAAAAAUAUGGGUUGCUUUUUUUUUUUUUUUUUUAUUUUUUUUGUUUUAUAUAUAUAUAAAUAGUAAGUUAGGCAUAUUUGGGACUCUGAGCCUUUGUGAUGUCUAUUUUGCAGUGGUCAGUUGAAACAAAAAGCAAAUCCAAACCGUUCAGACAGACUUGAGCUACAAUAGCCACAUUGUGAGUCCAUGUUUACAAACACUACAGGUGGGCUGAGAGGCCUUUUUAUGCUGGAGCAUCAUGUCUUCCAUUUCUACACCACAAACACCCGUACAGUUUAUCUGUUUCACUGAGGCAGAGAGUCCCCUGUUUUCAUUUAGACAUUAAUAGGCUUGUUAGUUUAGUAGGUUUUUCUCAUUAAGUUGCCUGUAUACCUCCAUAUGUUAACCAUAUACAUGUUGAUGUUUAAAAGUAGUUGUAGAAAUGCAUUGUUUCCUUGUGGUAAGUGAUUGAGGUGCUGCCAUGGGAAUGAGACACUGAUGAAUGGUGCUAUUUUGGACUUUCACUAUGCUCCUUGGUAAGGUAGCUCUGAUUGUUUAUUUUAUUUUAAAUUGUUAACAUUUUAUUUCCAUGUUUUAAAGUGUUUGUGCUUUGUUGCCUGGUUGUUGUUCCUUGAUCUGGAUUGACUAUUU